GUAAUACUCCCUCCGUCCCGAAUUACUUGUCGCAGAAAUUGAUAGAAAUGAAUGUAUCUAAAACUAAAAAUACGUCUAGAUACAUCCAUUUCUGUGACAAGUAAUUCGGGGCGGAGGGAGUAUAAA
rfam:Triticum aestivum genome assembly, contig: Triticum_aestivum_CS42_TGACv1_scaffold_487831_6AS